rnacentral:snoRNA from 1 species
UUGCACAGUGAACACCCAGGGAUGUCAGUGUGGCUCUCUCUGGUAUCUUCUACCUGUGCUACAAUGACUCUGGUCGUUUCCUCUGCAGUUGGAGAACUUCGUUUAUCCUACAUGUAUUCAGAUGACCAGGACAAAU